GUGGGGAAUAUUGGACAAUGGGCGAAAGCCUGAUCCAGCAAUGCCGCGUGCAGGAAGAAGGCCUUCGGGUUGUAAACUGCUUUUGUACGGAACGAAACGGUCCGGGUUAAUACCCUGGGCUAAUGACGGUACCGUAAGAAUAAGCACCGGCUAACUACGUGCCAGCAGCCGCGGUAAUACGUAGGGUGCAAGCGUUAAUCGGAAUUACUGGGCGUAAAGCGUGCGCAGGCGGUUUUGUAAGACAGGCGUGAAAUCCCCGGGCUCAACCUGGGAAUUGCGCUUGUGACUGCAAGGCUGGAGUGCGGCAGAGGGGGAUGGAAUUCCGCGUGUAGCAGUGAAAUGCGUAGAUAUGCGGAGGAACACCGAUGGCGAAGGCAAUCCCCUGGGCCUGCACUGACGCUCAUGCACGAAAGCGUGGGGAGCAAACAGGAUUAGAAACCCGUGUAGUCC
rnacentral:rRNA from 1 species